rnacentral:tRNA from 1 species
GCCCCUGUAGCUCAGUGGAUAGAGCGUCUGCCUCCGGAGCAGAAGGUCGCUGGUUCGAAUCCAGUCGGGGGCAC